rnacentral:rRNA from 1 species
CCUACGGGAGGCAGCAGUGGGGAAUAUUGGGCAAUGGGCGCAAGCCUGACCCAGCAACGCCGCGUGAAGGAAGAAGGCUUUCGGGUUGUAAACUUCUUUUCUCAGGGACGAAGAAAGUGACGGUACCUGAGGAAUAAGCCACGGCUAACUACGUGCCAGCAGCCGCGGUAAUACGUAGGUGGCAAGCGUUAUCCGGAUUUACUGGGUGUAAAGGGCGGGUAGGCGGGAAAGCAAGUCAGAUGUGAAAACCAUGGGCUCAACCUGUGGACUGCAUUUGAAACUGUUUUUCUUGAGUACUGGAGAGGCAGACGGAAUUCCUAGUGUAGCGGUGAAAUGCGUAGAUAUUAGGAGGAACACCAGUGGCGAAGGCGGUCUGCUGGACAGCAACUGACGCUGAGGCGCGAAAGCGUGGGGAGCAAACAGGAUUAGAUACCCCUGUAGUC